rnacentral:rRNA from 1 species
GACGAACGCUGGCGGCGUGCUUAACACAUGCAAGUCGAACGAAGUGGCGGACGGGGGAGUAACGCGUAAUCAACCUGCUCUUCAGAGGGGGGCAACAGUUGGAAACGACUGCUAAUACCGCCUACGGACGUAGGGGAUUGUGUCUGAUUGGCGAGUUGGUGGGGUAACGGCCCACCAAGGCAAGGAUCAGUAGCCGGCCUGGGAGGGUGAACGGCCACAUGGGGACUGAGACACGGCCCAGACUCCUACGGGAGGCAGCAGUGGGGAAUCUUCCGCAAUGGAGGGAAGUCUGACGGAGCAACGCCGCGUGAGUGAUGACGGUUUUCGGGUUGUAAAGCUCUGUUAAUCGGGACGCGGUACCGAACUAGAAAGCCACGGCUAACUACGUGCCAGCAGCCGCGGUAAUAC